rnacentral:rRNA from 1 species
GACGGGCCCGCACAAGCAGCGGAGCGUGUGGUUUAAUUCGAUGAUACACGAAGAACCUUACCAGGGUUUGACAUGCUAGUGGUAGGGAUCCGAAAGGUGACCGACCCCUCGGGGAGCUAGCACAGGUGCUGCAUGGCUGUCGUCAGCUCGUGUCGUGAGAUGUUCGGUUAAGUCCGCUAACGAGCGCAACCCUUGCUGUGUGUUACAUGUGUCACACGGGACUGCCGGUCUUAAACCGGAGGAAGGUGGGGAUGACGUCAAGUCAGCAUGGCCUUUAUGUCCUGGGCUACACACACGCUACAAUGGCCGGUACAAUAGGUUGCGAAGCCGCGAGGCGGAGCCAAUCCUGAAAGCAGGCCUCAGUUCAGAUUGCAGUCUGCAACUCGACUGCAUGAAGCCGGAGUUGCUAGUAACCGCAGGUCAGCAAUACUGCGGUGAAUACGUUCCCGGGUCUU